rnacentral:rRNA from 1 species
GAUGAACGCUGGCGGCGUGCCUAAUACAUGCAAGUCGAGCGAACAGACGAGGAGCUUGCUCCUCUGACGUUAGCGGCGGACGGGUGAGUAACACGUGGAUAACCUACCUAUAAGACUGGGAUAACUUCGGGAAACCGGAGCUAAUACCGGAUAAUAUAUUGAACCGCAUGGUUCAAUAGUGAAAGACGGUUUUGCUGUCACUUAUAGAUGGAUCCGCGCCGCAUUAGCUAGUUGGUAAGGUAACGGCUUACCAAGGCAACGAUGCGUAGCCGACCUGAGAGGGUGGUCGGCCACCUGGGAACUGAGACACGGUCCAGACUCCUACGGGAGGCAGCAGUAGGGAAUCUUCCGCAAUGGGCGAAAGCCUGACGGAGCAACGCCGCGUGAGUGAUGAAGGUCUUCGGAUCGUAAAACUCUGUUAUUAGGGAAGAACAAAUGUGUAAGUAACUAUGCACGUCUUGACGGUACCUAAUCAGAAAGCCACGGCUAACUACGUG